UUCUCAGGUCACCCUCAGUCUUCUGUUCUCCAGGCUGAGUCUCUCCAGUCCCUUCAAGUGAUCCUCAUGUGAUAUGAAUCUGAUGUCCUUCUUUGUUUGGAUACUACCUAGCUUACCAAUGUGCUUUCUAAAACUGAAACAACCAAGCAGUGUGCUAUAGCUGAAAGGGAACUGGAUUUGGAGUUGGAGGACCUGGGUUCAAAUCCCAUCUUGAUUACUUAUCAGAUGGCCUUGGGUGCCCUUUGCUCAUCCCCAGAAGGUGGCUGGCUACUCAUCUCUCCAGAACUUGAAGUUUUACAAACAAGAUGGAUUCGCUCAUUUGGUCCCUAUACAACAUGUCACCUGGAGGAAGGAUCUGUGUGUCACUGAAGGAGAAGAAUUCCCCAGUUCACACAGACCUAUGUAAGUAGCCUGGCUGUUAAUUACAGAGCAUGUCCACACUUUAAUAAUCUCUACCAGAAAGA
rnacentral:lncRNA from 1 species